rnacentral:rRNA from 1 species
CCCUUAGAUGUUCUGGGCCGCACGCGCGCUACACUGAUACAUGCAACGAGUUUAUAACCUUGAUCUGACGGUCUGGGUAAUCUUCAAACUGUAUCGUGUUAGGGAUCGAUUCUUGCAAUUUUUAAUCGUAAACGAGGAAUUCCUAGUAAACGCAAGUCAUCAGCUUGCAUUGAUUACGUCCCUGCCCUUUGUACACACCGCCCGUCGACUCUACCGAUUGAAUGGUUCGGUGAAAACUUUGGACUGUGGCAUUGUCCUUCAUUGGACUUCGCCGUAGGAAAUUGUUUAAAUCUCAUCAUUUAGAGGAAGAAUAAGUCGUAACA